AAGAAUGGAGCCUAAGAAGUUUAGCUACUGUUUCCGCAUACUCUGAUGUUUGUAAGUGUUAAUAUAAAUAUGUUUUCCGCUAUAUAUAACAUUGUUUCUGAUAUUUCUAUUCUUUUGUUCUAUGUGUGGACUUCCUGGGAACACAUAUGACGAGUCUGGUCUCAUUUUUAAACCAGGGUGUGACAGGCUAGAUCGACAAUGGUGCACCCUCCUCCUCCCUCUCCGGUGGCUAGGUGCGUGGGACGGCCAGAUCCAUGGUGGCAUGCCCCCUCUCCUUCCCCUCUGGUGCCUAGGCAUAUGGGGGCGACUGGAUCCCUGGCGGCGCCCCCUCCUCCCUCUCCAGUAGCCAGACACACUAGGGGGUGUCCGGAUCCGCGACAACACACCCCCUUUCUCUCUGGUGGCCAGGCGCACAGGGGCGGCCAGAUCCACGGUGGCGCUGCCCCCUCUUCCCUCUCCGGCGGCCAGGCACACUGGGUGUGACCAGAUCCGUGGUGGAGUGGUCCCCUCCUCCCUCUCCGAUGGCCUGGCGUGUCGGGCCGACUGGAUCCGGCGGCGACUAAGUAUCCUCCUCCCUCUCCUUUGGCCUGGAGUGUGAGGGUUGGCCGAAUCUACGACGGUGGUGCAUGGGCACUGGCUCCGAGAUUGGGCUCACCGGUGGGCUUGCUAGUGGACUUUGUUUUUUAUUUUUUUUUGUAAUGAUUAACCGAGGCGGGCAUCCUAACGUGCCCCGCCUCGGUUAAUGGAUUUACCGUGGCAGGCAUAGGCGACCACCGCGAUGAGGCCAUGAUUAACCGUGACCUUAGAUCCACGGCGG
rnacentral:lncRNA from 1 species